rnacentral:rRNA from 1 species
AAAUGAAUAGACGGGGGCCCGCACAAGCGGCGGAGCAUGCGGAUUAAUUCGAUGCAACGCGAAGAACCUUACCUGGGUUUGACAUACACUAGACGCGUUCAGAGAUGGGCGUUCCCUUGUGGUUGGUGUACAGGUGGUGCAUGGCUGUCGUCAGCUCGUGUCGUGAGAUGUUGGGUUAAGUCCCGCAACGAGCGCAACCCUCGUCCUAUGUUGCCAGCGGGUUAUGCCGGGGACUCAUGGGAGACUGCCGGGGUCAACUCGGAGGAAGGUGGGGAUGACGUCAAGUCAUCAUGCCCCUUAUGUCCAGGGCUUCACGCAUGCUACAAUGGCUGGUACAAAGGGUUGCGAUCCCGUGAGGGGGAGCGAAUCCCGUAAAGCCAGUCUCAGUUCGGAUUGGGGUCUGCAACUCGACCCCAUGAAGUCGGAGUCGCUAGUAAUCGCAGAUCAGCAUUGCUGCGGUGAAUACGUUCCCGGGCCUUGUACACACCGCCCGU